rnacentral:snRNA from 1 species
CGUCCUCAGCGACGGACCGG